UAUGAGAUCAUUAUUUAUUUGGCAUAUGUACUGUAGUCUAGAGGAGCUGUUCCUCCUACGCUAUAAGGCUUUUUGUAUAGUAUUAGAAAUAUUACUUAUAUUAGGAAGCUUUAGACAUAUUCCUUGUAUGUUCAAUGCCCAGAGGUUGCCCUGAAAUCUUUGAUCAUCAUGAAAACAUUUUCUCCAUUCCAUAUUCUAUCCUGAAUGCUAAUCUGCAGCCUGCGUUCAUAAAACACAGGUGCGACAAUGAUAGGCUGAAAAAAUAUCAGUAAAUACUAAAUGUAUUUUAUUAUGAAGUUAACUGGUUGAGUAGUGUUGUGGACCUUUUCUUGAACCAUUGUAAUACUACGUGCAACACCUCUCCAGUGCGGAUAAUAAUAAUAAGCUGUUUGUUAAAACAAAGUACUUUUACGAUAUUACGAUUUAACUAUACAGUGAAUUUCAGAGUUGUGUUUGAAUUAAACAUAAUCCGGAUUAUUUGAAUCAGAUCA